rnacentral:rRNA from 1 species
CACGUAGGGUGCGAGCGUUGUCCGGAAUUAUUGGGCGUAAAGCGCUCGUAGGCGGUGUGUCGCGUCGGCCGUGAAAACCUGCAGCUUAACUGUGGGCUUGCGGUCGAUACGGGCAUCACUGGAGUUCGGCAGGGGAGACUGGAAUUCCUGGUGUAGCGGUGAAAUGCGCAGAUAUCAGGAGGAACACCGGUGGCGAAGGCGGGUCGCUGGGCCGAUACUGACGCUGAGGAGCGAAAGCGUGGGGAGCGAACAGG